CCAGAGCUGAGGAGGGAGGCCCAAUACUCACUUCUCAAGUUUGACCAUGGAGGAGUUAUAGCCCUGAGCAGACUCAUCUUGCCAGAGUACACACAGAGGUGCCUACCUUGGACAGAAGAAAAGCAGGCAGAUGAAUAAAGUGAGGAAAAUGAGCUACAGGCCCGUUAUCUACUGAAAGACAGAGGGUGACCUCGGUGCCUCCUCUCCCCUGUCCCAGCAAGCCAGGAAGUCACCUGGCACACACGGCCCAGCUGCAGCCCCAUGGCCUGAGUCCGUCCUCCCCUGGCUGCCUCUCCAGAGGCCCUGGCCAGGGCAGCCUCUCGCUCACGGGGAGACAGCCUAGCCAGGCCUUGGGCAGCACGCUGGGCUCUGCCUCGAGCUUCCCCUGCCCUCCACCCAACUUCAACUCAUUUUAAU